GGGGAUUUAGCUCAGUGGUAGAGCGCUUGCCUAGCAAGCGAAAGGCCCUGGGUUCGGACCCCAGCUCCG
rnacentral:tRNA from 1 species